rnacentral:tRNA from 1 species
GGUUGUAGCUCAGUGGUAGAGUGCUUGCUUAGCAUGUGUGAGGCACGGGGUUCAAUUUUCAGCACCA